rnacentral:rRNA from 1 species
AGGAUGAACGCUGGCGGCGUGCUUAACACAUGCAAGUCACGGGGGCCAGCAAUGGCAACCGGCGAACGGGUGCGUAACACGUGAGCAACCUACCGAAAUCUGGGGGAUAGCCGGCCCAACGGCCGGGUAAUACCGCAUACGCUCUAGACCAGGCAUUUGGACUAGAGGAAACCUCCGGGGGAUUUUGAGGGGCUCGCGGCCUAUCAGCUAGUUGGUGAGGUAACGGCUCACCAAGGCGACGACGGGUAGC